rnacentral:piRNA from 1 species
UGUGUCAUCUUUGCUAUAAAC